rnacentral:tRNA from 1 species
UUUUUAAUAGUGUAAAAAACGCACUGAUUUUUCGAGUCAGAGAUGAAAUUAAAUUUUCUUGG